rnacentral:rRNA from 1 species
AUUGAACGCUGGCGGCAGGCCUAACACAUGCAAGUCGAACGAGUGGCGGACGGGUGAGUAAUGUCUGGGAAACUGCCUGAUGGAGGGGGAUAACUACUGGAAACGGUAGCUAAUACCGCAUACCAUCAGAUGUGCCCAGAUGGGAGUCGCUUUUUGGUGGGGUAACGGCUCACCAAUGCGACGAUCCCUAGCUGGGCUGAGAGGAUGACCAGCAACACUGGAACGGAGACCCGGCCCAGACUCCUACGGGAGGCAGCAGUGGGGAAUAUCGCACAAGGGGGGCAGGCCUGAUGCAGCCAUGCCGCUGGUAUGAAGAAGGCCUUCGGGUUGUAAAGUACUUUCAGCGGGGAGGCGGUACCCGAAGAAGAAGCACCGGCUAACUCCGUGCCAGCAGCCGCGGUAAUAC